rnacentral:tRNA from 4 species
GCCUGGGUGACGGAACUGGUAUACGUAGGGGACUUAAAAUCCCCGGCCGCAAGGCAUAAGGGUUCGAUUCCCUUCCCAGGCA